rnacentral:tRNA from 1 species
AUUUAUAUAGUUUAAAAAACAUUACAUUUUCACUGUAAAAAUAAGAACUUAUUCUUUAUAAAUA